UGGGGAAUAUUGCACAAUGGGCGCAAGCCUGAUGCAGCCAUGCCGCGUGUAUGAAGAAGGCAUUCGGGUUGUAAAGUACUUUCAGUCGGGAGGAAGGUGGUAAGGUUAAUAACCUUAUCAAUUGACGUUACCGACAGAAGAAGCACCGGCUAACUCCGUGCCAGCAGCCGCGGUAAUACGGAGGGUGCAAGCGUUAAUCGGAAUUACUGGGCGUAAAGCGCACGCAGGCGGUAGAUUGAGUCAGAUGUGAAAUCCCCGGGCUUAACCCGGGAAUUGCAUCUGAUACUGGUCAGCUAGAGUCUUGUAGAGGGGGGUAGAAUUCCAGGUGUAGCGGUGAAAUGCGUAGAGAUGUGGAGGAAUACCAGUGGCGAAGGCGGCCCCCUGGACAAAGACUGACGCUCAGGUGCGAAAGCGUGGGGAGCAAACGGG
rnacentral:rRNA from 1 species